UUCCCCUCCAAUUUGAGGCUUGUCUCAGUCAAAAUUACGAAACUUAGGUUCAUUUUAAUUUGGAUCAACUACAUAGAAGCCCCCACACUUUGGUAACAUUUUUAUUAGUUAGAUAAACAAUGGUAACAUUUUUACGGAUGCUGAGUUAUGAUUCUCCUCUGAAAAGACGUGCUAACAAGAGGCUGUUGGCUAUGGAAGAGUAGUUUUACACAAUACCUUGUUGAAGUUCAUUAGCUUUGUUCUUGAACUGGAUUCUGUACUUUUGCAGUUUGUAAUUGUCUCUUUAUCCGGCUGGGGUCUACUCAUCUUUGGGGGUUACAAGUUCUUCACUGGAGGGAAAGGCAAGAAGGAAGAGAAACUGCGGAAGCAUCGCACUGAGGUUUGGAGUUUUAGAUAUUCCCAGAACUUGUUUGAAAUAACGAGUUUGCUUGGAUAUAAUGUCCUCAAAUUUCAUUUUCUUUGUCAGCAACUGAUUUUUGAUCAGUCUAUGGAGAUUGAUACAUUGAAAAAAUAUCGAGGUUAAUGGCUUUGUUGGGAGUUUAUGCCCUGUCCAAUUAUGUCUUUUUUGUAGUUACUUCUGUGAUUUGAUGCAUUAACCUUUCAUGUGUCAAUAAAAUAA